UAGGGAGGGGGCUAGCGUUGUUCGGAAUUACUGGGCGUAAAGCGCACGUAGGCGGACUGGAAAGUCAGGGGUGAAAUCCCGAGGCUCAACCCCGGAACUGCCUUUGAAACUCCCAGUCUUGAGGUCGAGAGAGGUGAGUGGAAUUCCGAGUGUAGAGGUGAAAUUCGUAGAUAUUAGGAGGAACACCAGUGGCGAAGGCGGCUCACUGGCCCGGUACUGACGCUGAGGCGCGAAAGCGUGGGGAGCAAACAGG
rnacentral:rRNA from 1 species